GAUGAACGCUGGCGGCGUGCCUAAUACAUGCAAGUCGAGCGAACAGACGAGGAGCUUGCUCCUCUGACGUUAGCGGCGGACGGGUGAGUAACACGUGGAUAACCUACCUAUAAGACUGGGAUAACUUCGGGAAACCGGAGCUAAUACCGGAUAAUAUAUUGAACCGCAUGGUUCAAUAGUGAAAGACGGUUUUGCUGUCACUUAUAGAUGGAUCCGCGCCGCAUUAGCUAGUUGGUAAGGUAACGGCUUACCAAGGCAACGAUGCGUAGCCGACCUGAGAGGGUUAUCGGCCACACUGGAACUGAGACACGGUCCAGACUCCUACGGGAGGCAGCAGUAGGGAAUCUUCCGCAAUGGGCGAAAGCCUGACGGAGCAACGGCGCGUGAGUGAUGAAGGUCUUCGGAUCGUAAAACUCUGUUAUUAGGGAAGAACAAAUGUGUAAGUAACUAUGCACGUCUUGACGGUACCUAAUCAGAAAGCCACGGCUAACUACGUG
rnacentral:rRNA from 1 species